rnacentral:rRNA from 1 species
UACGUAGGGGGCGAGCGUUGUCCGGAUUCAUUGGGCGUAAAGAGCUCGUAGGCGGCUUGGUAAGUCGGGUGUGAAACCUCCAGGCUCAACCUGGAGACGCCACUCGAUACUGCCAUGGCUAGAGUCCGGUAGGGGCCCACGGAAUUCCUGGUGUAGCGGUGAAAUGCGCAGAUAUCAGGAGGAACACCGGUGGCGAAGGCGGUGGGCUGGGCCGGUACUGACGCUGAGACGCGAAAGCGUGGGGAGCAAACAGG